AUUGCUUCUCGGCCUUUUGUCUAAGAUCAAGUGUAGUAUCUGUUCUUAUGAGUUUAAUAUCUCCUCUAUCUGAGAACAGAUAGAACAUUAAAUGGAGUUUUGGAGGUGGAAGAUGGAAUAUGAGCUUGUUCUGUCCACUCCACACAUCAACCUGGUACUGUAGUACCUCCAGGAAUGGUGUGCCUCCU
ensembl:snRNA U2 U2 spliceosomal RNA